GUGGAUUAGUGGCGAACGGGUGAGUAACACGUGGGCAAUCUGCCCUUCACUCUGGGACAAGCCCUGGAAACGGGGUCUAAUACCGGAUAACACUCUGUCCCGCAUGGGACGGGGUUAAAAGCUCCGGCGGUGAAGGAUGGGCCCGCGGCCUAUCAGCUUGUUGGUGGGGUAAUGGCCUACCAAGGCGACGACGGGUAGCCGGCCUGAGAGGGCGACCGGCCACACUGGGACUGAGACACGGCCCAGACUCCUACGGGAGGCAGCAGUGGGGAAUAUUGCACAAUGGGCGAAAGCCUGAUGCAGCGACGCCGCGUGAGGGAUGACGGCCUUCGGGUUGUAAACCUCUUUCAGCAGGGAAGAAGCGAAAGUGACGGUACCUGCAGAAGAAGCGCCGGCUAACUACGUGCCAGCAGCCGCGGUAAUACGUAGGGCGCAAGCGUUGUCCGGAAUUAUUGGGCGUAAAGAGCUCGUAGGCGGCUUGUCACGUCGGAUGUGAAAGCCCGGGGCUUAACCCCGGGUCUGCAUUCGAUACGGGCUAGCUAGAGUGUGGUAGGGGAGAUCGGAAUUCCUGGUGUAGCGGUGAAAUGCGCAGAUAUCAGGAGGAACACCGGUGGCGAAGGCGGAUCUCUGGGCCAUUACUGACGCUGAGGAGCGAAAGCGUGGGGAGCGAACAGGAUUAGAUACCCUGGUAGUCCACGCCGUAAACGUUGGGAACUAGGUGUUGGCGACAUUCCACGUCGUCGGUGCC
rnacentral:rRNA from 2 species